UACGAAGGGGGCUAGCGUUGCCCGGAAUCACUGGGCGUAAAGGGUGCGUAGGCGGGUCUUUAAGUCAGGGGUGAAAUCCUGGAGCUCAACCCCAGAACUGCCUUUGAUACUGAGGAUCUUGAGUACGGGAGAGGUGAGUGGAACUGCGAGUGUAGAGGUGAAAUUCGUAGAUAUUCGCAAGAACACCAGUGGCGAAGGCGGCUCACUGGCCCGGUACCGACGCUGAGGUGCGAAAGCGUGGGGAGCAAACAGG
rnacentral:rRNA from 1 species